AACCGAGAACUCCUACGGGAGGCAGCAGUGGGGAAUAUUGGACAAUGGGGGAAACCCUGAUCCAGCCAUGCCGCGUGUGUGAAGAAGGUCUUCGGAUUGUAAAGCACUUUAAGUUGGGAGGAAGGGUAGUAACUUAAUACGUUGCUACUUUGACGUUACCGACAGAAUAAGCACCGGCUAACUCUGUGCCAGCAGCCGCGGUAAUACAGAGGGUGCAAGCGUUAAUCGGAAUUACUGGGCGUAAAGCGCGCGUAGGUGGUUUGUUAAGUUGGAUGUGAAAGCCCCGGGCUCAACCUGGGAACUGCAUCCAAAACUGGCAAGCUAGAGUACGGUAGAGGGUGGUGGAAUUUCCUGUGUAGCGGUGAAAUGCGUAGAUAUAGGAAGGAACACCAGUGGCGAAGGCGACCACCUGGACUGAUACUGACACUGAGGUGCGAAAGCGUGGGGAGCAAACAGGAUUAGAUACCCUAGUAGUCCGACUGAGA
rnacentral:rRNA from 1 species